rnacentral:misc_RNA from 1 species
GCAGGUUUGGCUUUGAUUCUUGUAAACAUUGUUUUAUGCUCAAUUCUACACCUGUUGCCCCACAUGUUGAUUCAUUAUGCACUGAUUUUGUACUUGUCACAUGGUUUUGAUGAACUGAACUCCUUUCAGGGUCUACUUAAUUGGAUUACUAUUUGUUUCUGUUUCCCAUGAUGUGUGGUUGCAAUGUAUGGAAUAUUCAAGCAAAUAUUAUUAUAUUCCUAAGUGGUUUUCUCAUUCAUCUCAAUCUGGCUGUUUUUGUGCCUAUUGCGAUGAUCAUUAUUUUGCCUGUGUUCGGCUUGCAAUGAUACUUUCUU